rnacentral:lncRNA from 1 species
GGGGAUUGAAAUUAUGAUUUCCAAGAGCCUCUGGCUAUGCUGCUGAUUCUCCUGUGGUUUCUCUGAGAACAGACAUUCCUGGCAUGAACAAACCUGGAUUCUGGUCUUGCGGCUUCUGAUUGGCAUCCUCUGCCUAUAUAAUGUCAGGAUGUGGAAUCCUAGAGUCGGAGUCUUAUCUUCCUCUGGAUUCUGAAGCUUUCCUCUGUGCUGCCUGCUCAACAACUGACCAUCAUGAAGUUUUUGGUGUUCCUGGCACUGGUGGCAGUUUCCACCUUCCUGGUUUCUGGCCAGGAUACAGGAACAAUUCCUGCUAGUUCUUCUCCGGCCACAGAGUCCACUACGGCUGCGACAUCCACUGCUGCUCCCACCACAUCCACUGCGGCUGCGACAUCCACGGCUGCUGCCACAUCCACUGCUGCUCCCACCACAUCCACUGCGGCUGCGACGUCCACUGCUGCUCCCACCACAUCCACUGCGGCUGCAACGUCCACUGCUGCUCCCACCACAUCCACUGCGGCUGCCACAACCACCACUGCUGCCAAGACCACCAUGUCCUACGAAGACUGCCUCUUUUAUUUUCGUUUUACCCCAUGGCUUCGGGUCAUUUACUGCUAAAAGUUAUCACUGAGAUGGAAUCAGCUUCAGCCUUCUAUAUUGAUCUUACUGGAUUCGGCCAGAAUGUCCCUUGAUUUGUUUCACUGCUGCUACUUUCCAGCCCUAUCGUAUCUCUCUUAUCUCUAAUCAGUUUCUAUUCAUUCAAAUAAAAUGAUGAGUGACAUCAAAAAUAGUAGUUAUUUUUUUAGCUGUCGGCCGAGCGGUCAUCCAAUCAUUAUGUCAAGUGAUAGAUAUUUUGAAUCUUACCCAGUUCUUCCCUAUAUUACUGUAAAUAAAUGGACCCCCU